AAUGGGGGGUCGUAGAAUUUAUCUGUCAAGGCUUGUGAUGAGGAUUGAAAGUAUUAAUAAGCAUAAAAUGGAACUGUGUCUGGUAAAUGAUGAGCCAUUAUAUUAAGAUCUAGAUUCCUCCUGCCCUUUGAGGAUUAAGAUUUAAAGCCAGCGUGCAGGUAAUUGUAUAAAUAAUCCUGACUUAAAGGUGGGUAGUCAGUGCUAGGGGUAAACGCUGCAUGAAAAUUUUAGGCCUGAUCACUUAAUUUUGAAAGGAUUGCAGGAGAAAGUGACAUCAUAAUUGUGUUUGAUGGGUGGUAGUGUUUUGAUGGGCGAGAGUCCCGGGGAUGCAUAUUCAGAAGUGGCUUGUUCAAAGGCUCAAAAGCCCCAGGUCCUUGGAGAACUCUGAGUAGAGUCUAUAUGUUAGAUAAUUAUAAGAGCUAAGGAUAAAAUGCAGGCUAGGAAGUGUCAGAGGUGGACGGCAGCCUAGAGAUUUUAGAUUGGUCAGGGAAGCCUUCACUGAGAAGGUGGCAUUUGAGUAAAGAUAUGAAGGAGGUGGAGCAGAGAAACUUGAGACUAAGAUUCCAAGAAGGAGUUAGUGCAAAGUUCUAAGGCAGGUACAAAGCGGGUGUGUUCAAGGUAAGAAAGGAGGAGGCUAGGGUGGACGGGGCAGAGGAGAGCAUUAGAAGAUUAAGUUAGAGUUCAUGAAUUCAGAUCCUUGUGACUUGUAGGUCAGCAUAAAGAUGAAUUUUUACUCUGAAGUUAAAAGCCCCAGAGGGGGCAACCCAGGUGGCUCAGUGGUUUAGCACCGCCUUCAGCCCAGGGCACGAUCCUGGAGUCCCGGGAUCGAGUUCCGUGUCAGGCUGCUGCAUGGAGCCUGCUUCUCCCUCUGCCUGUGUCUCUGCCUCUCUCUCUUUCUCUCUCUCCCUCUGUGUCUCAUGAAUAAAUAAAUAAUCUUAAUAAAAAUAAAAACCCCAGAGGGUUUUGAAUAGGACCUUGACAUAAUUUAAUUUUUAAAAGAAGCAUUUAUAUUCUAGUUGCUGGGUUGAGAAUAGACUGAAGCAGGGGCAAGGGCAGAAGCAGACCAAAUCGAACAGUUAGCCUGGCUAAGAAAGUGGUUUGGAUUGGGGACCAGGCAGUGGAGGGGUGAGAUGCAGUCAAAGAGAUCCCCGAACCUAUUUUGAAGGUAGAAACAGAUGAAUUAGAAAUGGGACACUUGAGAAAGAAAGGAGCUUAAAGGUCACUCUAAAGUUCUUGAGUACAUGUUGAAUACUGUGUAGAAAAAUUGCAGAGAGGCUCUGGCUGAUGUUCUGUCUUCCUGGAGGAUUUAAUUUUAUCCUGGCUGGCAAUUAGAGUGGGAGCAGAGGAACUAAUCAAGGAUUCAAGUUUUGGGAGGGCUGAUUGCUUUCUGGUUUGUUCUGAUCCCAGAACAUAGGCCUUUAGGAAUCUCAGCAGAAAACUUGGGGUGUUCAGCAGGUUCCCAUCUUUAGGGGACCUUGAGCUCCCAUUUUUGUAUUCCCAAGCCUGUGAGGUUAAUGAAAGCUCUGCCUACCUUCUUAGCCACUUUGCAAUGUGUUGGUUUCUUGAUUUCUAGUGUCCUUGGAGCUUAAAAUUCAACAAAUGCCUUAAGGAUAAAGGCCAAACAAAGUUGUCAGGCUUCCCUGUGAUCCCCCUUUGUCUGGGGUCUUGUCCCUUCGACUUCUGUCUUCCGUUCUCAUCUAUAAUUUUUAUUUCCCCGGAUCUGAAAGACUCCUGACAACUCUAGACCAUUGCUUUCUGCUUGCCCUUAAACGCCCUGUUCUGAAACUCAACAAAUACCCCAGGAGAAAAGCAAUGGAGGAGUUCUGUAUUCCCAUGUAUUUUCUUUCUCACUGGGAUCCCAGUCCCUCAUGUCCUGACUGCCUUGGUUAUUCUCCAGUGCCUUCAAACAGUCUAUGUGGUUUUUAUUUUAGUUUUUAGUUUUAGCUUCAGUUUUUACAGUUACUCCUGUAAGAGGGUUGUCUGAUUCAAGCUACCACUCAGUCCUGGCUAGAAGCUGUGCCAAAAAUGGAGUUUCCAUUUACUUCCAUAGGGAACACUGGAGAGGAGCAGGUUUUGGAGAGAGCGUUAGAAGUUCAUAGGUACAUUGAGCUUGAAAGGCAUUUUAGUCAUCCUAGUGAAGAUGUUGAGGAGACAGUUUGACAUGGGAAUCUGGGGCUUUGGGGGAUGGGUCCAGAGAAGAGAUACGAGUUUUUGGGCUAAUGAUAUAAAGAGGCAAUUUAAAGCCAUGAGAUUUGAUGAGAUUGCUAAGGAGUGUAGAGAGAAGACAUGAGCCCUUGAGCAUGGAGGCUGGAAAGAUGAAAAAUAACCAACAAAGGAUACUGAUGAAGAGUGGCCAGAGAAACAGAAGAAAUUGCAGACAGUCUGUUCACUGGGAAUCAAGUGAUGAAAGUGUUUUCAAGGAGAAGGAAGUAAAGAUGGCUAAUGCAAUUUAUGGGUCAAGCAAGCUGUGAACAUUGAAUCUAGCAACGUAGAGAUAGAGAUCGUUGGUGAUGGAGCAAAGGGUGCCUGCAGUGGAGUUAGGACAAAGUUCAGCUAUAGAUUUAGAAGAGAAUGGGAAGAAAGAACUUUGUGACUCAGGGAGGUUUGGUGCAAAGGAAUAGAAACAGGAUGGCAGCCAGAGGGAAAUGCGGCCAAGAGAAAGUUUUAUAUUUUUUAAGGAGAGAUUUGAUUGUAAAUGGGUAUGCUUAUAGGAAUGAGUAGAGAGAGAGAGAGCAGAAUGGACAUUUUAUCAGGGAGAGCCAGGAUUGAUGGUAUGAUGUAAGCAAGAAGGCAUGGGUCCUCAUGCACAAUUGCUUGUCUGGAAGCGUGCAUGGUGAUAGAAAAGGUAGACGACGCCAGUCCAGCAGGAAGCAGAAGCAAGUUUUCAUACAAGUUCGUAUAUUGAACGAAUGGAAUCUCUCAGCCCUGAGAUUCUGUUGAAAUCCAGGAGAUGGAGACACUGGAAGAAAAAAGGAACAAAAUUUUGUGACACUGGAUACGGAAAAGAUUUGUGAAACAGAAGAUGAAAAGCACAAAGGAAAGACGAAUUAGAAUGGAUUUCAUUAAAAUGAAAAGCAUUUGCUCCCCAAAAGACAUAGUUCAUGCUCCUGAACAUAGAAUACAGGAUUGAAGGAAGGAAGAAGCAAGAAGGGAAGCAAGUGUCCUAAGAAUGGAUCGGCUGUAAUCCAGAUCCUUAGUCUUGUUUUAAUCAGUGAUGUCAAAACACUUCCCCUACUGAAGACAUGCCUUGCUUUUAACUUAAAUUUUUUUCAUUUUUUAAAAAAAUAGCUUCCUCAUCUUUUCUUUCUCUUCCCUAAUCAUAACGGUCAAUUUGAAUUGUAUAGACAUAUAUGGAAACAGAAUCCAAGUGACUUACACUAUGUACCAUGAAUAAAGAACUUUGGACACAG